rnacentral:rRNA from 1 species
UACGAAGGGGGCUAGCGUUGCCCGGAAUCACUGGGCGUAAAGCGCACGUAGGCGGAUUGUUAAGUCGGGGGUGAAAUCCUGGGGCUCAACUCCAGAACUGCCUUCGAUACUGGCGAUCUUGAGUCCGGGAGAGGUGAGUGGAACUCCGAGUGUAGAGGUGAAAUUCGUAGAUAUUCGGAAGAACACCAGUGGCGAAGGCGGCUCACUGGCCCGGUACUGACGCUGAGGUGCGAAAGCGUGGGGAGCAAACAGG